rnacentral:lncRNA from 1 species
UCAUUUGGAUGGAGCUUGACUGGAUCUCUGUCUCCUCCUUCACACGUGACAGCUUGUUGGACAUGGAGCCUGGCAAUUAGCUACUGUUACUGUUUCCGGUUCUGGGAGGGGAAAGUUUAGAAAUGGGGGUGAACAGUGACCAGUCCACAGUCACCCAGCCAGCAUCAGGCAAAGGCACCAGGCAGCGGUCCGGACCUCAGACCAGAAGCAGUGACCAGAGCCCCAACCUUCCUUGAGAAACCACCACACUCCUCACUGCCUAGGAGGUUUCUCUCACCCAAGCCUUUAAUUGCUGCUGAAAUGAUUCACAGUUUCUCUCAGCACUCCCAAGAGCAGAACAGAUUAUUCUGGCCAUGAAGAAGCACUUGAAGUGGGGUUUGGUGUCGUGGAAUGAGAAGGGGCUUCCGGGCAAGUCGCUUAAGUUCUCUAAACCUUACUUCCUUACCUUUGAGAUGGGAACGCCACGUCCCCUUUGCCUGCCCCUAGGAGAGCUACAGGAGUGCAGAGAUCUGCCUCCAGCUGCCGGCAGGACACAUCCUCAGCCUGUCCUUGCCAGCCCAUCUGUCACCAGGAGACGAGCUCCACAAGGGCCUCUGUUUUUCAGACUUCAGGAAGUUUGACCAUCUGAAACACAGAGCUUGUCCUUCCCUUACGCACACCUGGUGAGCAGGGUGCCUCUGGGCCUGGGCCGCAGAGGAAGAGCACAUACCCGAGUGGACUGCUUACCUUCCGAUCCCCUGAAAUAAGUCUUUCUGGGAGCUUCCUACCUGGUGAGAGUCACCCAGGCCAAUCUGGGCUUUUGAGAGACUUCAGGGUCUCAGUCCAGCCUCACUGUUGCCCCUUCCUACUGAACGUUUCAUCCAGCCUGUGAGACGUCUCUGUGCACAUUGCCCUUUCCUAGCUUCUAGCCAUUACACUUUGCUUGUUAUGCUAGUCCCCUUUUCUUGCGAUGUCUUUUUCCACAGUAGUCAGCUGUGAUCCGAAAAUAUUAAAAGGAAAACC